CUGCGGAGGAUCAUUAUUGAAGUAAACCUGAUGAGUUGUUGCUGGUUCUCUAGGGAACAUGUGCACACUUGUCAUCUUUAUAUCUCCACCUGUGCACCUUUUGUAGACCUGGAUAUCUUUCUGUAUGCCUUUGGCAUUCAGGUUUGAGGAUUGCUUUUGUUAUCUCUCCUUACAUUUCCAGGCCUAUGUUUCUUCAUAUACUCCAAUGUAUGUUAUUGAAUGUAAUAAAAUGGGACUUUGUGCCUAUAAACCUUAUACAACUUUCAGCAACGGAUCUCUUGGCUCUCGCAUCGAUGAAGAACGCAGCGAAAUGCGAUAAGUAAUGUGAAUUGCAGAAUUCAGUGAAUCAUCGAAUCUUUGAACGCACCYUGCGCUCCUUGGUAUUCCGAGGAGCAYGCCUGUUUGAGUGUCAUUAAUAUAUCAACUUUCUUCAGMUUUUGUUUGUUAGAAAWGUUGGAUGUGGGGGGGGAAUUUUUUGUGCUGGUUUCCUCAGAGAUCAGCUCCCCUGAAAUGUAUUAGCGGAACGAAUUUUGUGGAUCGUUCAUUGGUGUGAUAACUAUCUACGCUAUUGACGUGAAGCAGUUCAGCUUCUAACAGUCC
rnacentral:rRNA from 1 species